UACAUGCAAGUCGAGCGAAUGGAUUAAGAGCUUGCUCUUAUGAAGUUAGCGGCGGACGGGUGAGUAACACGUGGGUAACCUGCCCAUAAGACUGGGAUAACUCCGGGAAACCGGGGCUAAUACCGGAUAACAUUUUGAACCGCAUGGUUCGAAAUUGAAAGGCGGCUUCGGCUGUCACUUAUGGAUGGACCCGCGUCGCAUUAGCUAGUUGGUGAGGUAACGGCUCACCAAGGCAACGAUGCGUAGCCGACCUGAGAGGGUGAUCGGCCACACUGGGACUGAGACACGGCCCAGACUCCUACGGGAGGCAGCAGUAGGGAAUCUUCCGCAAUGGACGAAAGUCUGACGGAGCAACGCCGCGUGAGUGAUGAAGGCUUUCGGGUCGUAAAACUCUGUUGUUAGGGAAGAACAAGUGCUAGUUGAAUAAGCUGGCACCUUGACGGUACCUAACCAGAAAGCCACGGCUAACUACGUGCCAGCAGCCGCGGUAAUACGUAGGUGGCAAGCGUUAUCCGGAAUUAUUGGGCGUAAAGCGCGCGCAGGUGGUUUCUUAAGUCUGAUGUGAAAGCCCACGGCUCAACCGUGGAGGGUCAUUGGAAACUGGGAGACUUGAGUGCACAAGAGGAAAGUGGAAUUCCAUGUGUAUCGGUGAAAUGCGUACAGAUAUGGACGAGCAC
rnacentral:rRNA from 1 species